rnacentral:rRNA from 1 species
UACGGGGGGGGCAAGCGUUGUGCGGAAUUACUGGGCGUAAAGGGUUCGUAGGUGGCUGGCUAAGUCAGACGUGAAAUCCCUCAGCUCAACUGGGGAACUGCGUCUGAGACUGGUCAGCUUGAGUGCAGGAGAGGAACGCGGAAUUCCAGGUGUAGCGGUGAAAUGCGUAGAUAUCAGGAGGAAUACCGGUGGCGAAGGCGGCCUUCUGGACGGUGACUAACGCUGAGACGCGAAAGCGUGGGGAGCAAACAGG